rnacentral:lncRNA from 1 species
UGACAGUUGGUGGGGUGAGGGGCAACUGGGAGUGACAGUUGGUCUCCUGAUGAACUCUCUUGCUAGACUUUGGGUUAGAAGGAGCCUCUCUCCCUGUCUCUGGAUAGAAGUUGCUCUAUUCCUGAUUUUCCCAACUGUGUGCUCUACCUGGAUUCCUAUGAUUGUAUCAUUGAACAAAAGGAUUUAAGGGGAGCAGUUUGAACUGUAAGGCCAGUCUUUAGGGGUGUCAGCCUGAAGAGUCAUGACCAACCAGUUCUGAAGAAGUCAAGGGCUCUGCCUGUGGCACUGAUCCAAGGGUGACUCAGAGGGAAGAUUGCCAUCCACCCAGUCACAAACAAUCCUUUUCGAAGCUCUGGUGGAUUUGCUUUGAAGGACUCUUGUCUUAGUAUUGACCAAGGCCUUGCUCAGCUUAUGAGAUUUGACAAGAACACAGGCCAGAGUGGGAUGGCUUCAUGGCUUGUCAGUGACCAGGAAUAUGGUGAUAAACAUCUAACAAGCAUAAGGAGGAAAGAGAUCUAUGGAUGGAGGAUCAGAGAUCCAGGGCAAUGGCUGACAGCUCAAUUAAAUUCUUGCCACUCUUCAGUUUCCAAUAAAUUUUUAAUUUGUCUCUCCAUGAACCCUUACUGUUUAUAU